GCGGGGGGGGGGUGGCUUUAAACAUGGCAGUCGGAACGAUGAACCAGGAGCUUGCUCUUGGGGAUUAGUGGCGAACGGGUGAGUAACACGUGAGUAACCUGCCCUUGACUCUGGGAUAACCUCCGGAAACGGAAGCUAAUACCGGAUACGACGCACGGAGGCAUCUCCUGUGCGUGGAAAGAACUUCGGUCAAGGAUGGACUCGCGGCCUAUCAGGUAGUUGGUGAGGUAACGGCCCACCAAGCCUACGACGGGUAGCCGGCCUGAGAGGGUGACCGGCCACACUGGGACUGAGACACGGCCCAGACUCCUACGGGAGGCAGCAGUGGGGAAUAUUGCACAAUGGGCGCAAGCCUGAUGCAGCAACGCCGCGUGAGGGAUGACGGCCUUCGGGUUGUAAACCUCUUUUAGUAGGGAAGAAGCGAAAGUGACGGUACCUGCAGAAAAAGCACCGGCUAACUACGUGCCAGCAGCCGCGGUAAUACGUAGGGUGCGAGCGUUGUCCGGAAUUAUUGGGCGUAAAGAGCUCGUAGGCGGUCUGUCGCGUCUGCUGUGAAAACCCGAGGCUCAACCUCGGGCCUGCAGUGGGUACGGGCAGACUAGAGUGCGGUAGGGGAGAAUGGAAUUCCUGGUGUAGCGGUGGAAUGCGCAGAUAUCAGGAGGAACACCGAUGGCGAAGGCAGUUCUCUGGGCCGUAACUGACGCUGAGGAGCGAAAGCGUGGGGAGCGAACAGGAUUAGAUACCCUGGUAGUCCACGCCGUAAACGUUGGGCGCUAGAUGUGGGGACCAUUCCACGGUUUCCGUGUCGCAGCUAACGCAUUAAGCGCCCCGCCUGGGGAGUACGGCCGCAAGGCUAAAACUCAAAGGAAUUGACGGGGGGCCCGCACAAGCGGCGGAGCAUGCGGAUUAAUUCGAUGCAACGCGAAGAACCUUACCAAGGCUUGACAUACACGAGAACGCUCUAGAAAUAGGGAACUCUUUUGGACACUCGUGAACAGUU
rnacentral:rRNA from 1 species